rnacentral:lncRNA from 1 species
UUUUUUUGGUUUAAUUUAUACUUUUCUUAAUAAUCAUAAUCAAAAUCAAAGUCUACAAUGAAUGAACCAACCCAUCCAACUAACACAAAACAACAAUCCCACAACACUAAAAUCGAACUGGCCCAAUGGAUGAUCCGGUCCAAAGCUUAAAGAACAUAUAUAGUGUGUAGGAUUUCUAAAAUGAGCUAAGAUCAACUCCUUCCCUAUUAGUUUUCUGCAUCCUUCACCGUGCUUGACUUCAAGAACCUUCAAUUUGUGUUGAUUCACCUUUGGGUGAUAAACAUUGUGCCUUGGUCAUGCUGAGUUGAAUCCUUUUCCAGCUUGCAAAAGUAAGCUCGUUUUAUCCUUUUCUGAUCUAACACUUGUUCUUUGGCUCUUGGUUGAUAUUAUCUUCUCUCCUCUUCCAGCUGAGAUCUACAUUGUAAGGGUGUAUGCAGUGAUUUUUGGUGCUAAAAAAAAGGGUCUGGUCCGUUGAGAUUUGGUAUUUAAUCUCGGUAAGCUGCUUCUAGUGUUGUGCUUGAUUCUGGUGUUUAAACUGAAACUUAACAAUGUCCUUCUUGCACAGUUGUGGAAGGGAUGCAUAUUGUGAGAUGCUCGGACCCGUUUUUGACUGGAUGAUAGCAAAUUCCUCAGCCACAUACAAUGAAGAUUUGACCUUAUGACCCCCGAUCAACUGAGAGACCUUUUUUGUUGGCUGGUGUAGUUAGGAUAAGUAGCAAUUUUCCUC